rnacentral:rRNA from 1 species
ACUCCUACGGGAGGCAGCAGUGGGGAAUAUUGCACAAUGGGCGCAAGCCUGAUGCAGCCAUGCCGCGUGUGUGAAAGAAGGGCCUUCGGGUUGAUAAAGCACUUUCAGUCGUGAGGAAGGUAGUGUAGUUAAUAGCUGCAUUAUUUGACGUUAGCGACAGAAGAAGCACCGGCUAACUCCGUGCCAGCAGCCGCGGUAAUACGGAGGGUGCGAGCGUUAAUCGGAAUUACUGGGCGUAAAGCGCAUGCAGGUGGUUUGUUAAGUCAGAUGUGAAAGCCCGGGGCUCAACCUCGGAAUUGCAUUUGAAACUGGCAGACUAGAGUACUGUAGAGGGGGGUAGAAUUUCAGGUGUAGCGGUGAAAUGCGUAGAGAUCUGAAGGAAUACCGGUGGCGAAGGCGGCCCCCUGGACAGAUACUGACACUCAGAUGCGAAAGCGUGGGGAGCAAACAGGAUUAGAUACCCUGGUAGCUACGAGU